rnacentral:rRNA from 1 species
GAUGAACGCUGGCGGCGUGCCUAAUACAUGCAAGUCGAGCGAACGGACGAGAAGCUUGCUUCUCUGAUGUUAGCGGCGGACGGGUGAGUAACACGUGGAUAACCUACCUAUAAGACUGGGAUAACUUCGGGAAACCGGAGCUAAUACCGGAUAAUAUUUUGAACCGCAUGGUUCAAAAGUGAAAGACGGUCUUGCUGUCACUUAUAGAUGGAUCCGCGCUGCAUUAGCUAGUUGGUAAGGUAACGGCUUACCAAGGCAACGAUGCAUAGCCGACCUGAGAGGGUGAUCGGCCACACUGGAACUGAGACACGGUCCAGACUCCUACGGGAGGCAGCAGUAGGGAAUCUUCCGCAAUUGGCGAAAGCCUGACGGAGCAACGCCGAGUGAGUGAUGAAGGUCUUCGGAUCGUAAAACUCUGUUAUUAGGGAAGAACAUAUGUGUAAGUAACUGUGCACAUCUUGACGGUACCUAAUCAGAAAGCCACGGCUAACUACGUG